GAUGAACGCUAGCGGGAGGCUUAACACAUGCAAGUCAAGGGGUAUAGUAGCAAUACUAGAGACAGGCGCACGGGUGAGUAACGCGUAUGCAACCUGCCCUUUACAGGAGGAUAGCCCGCUGAAAGGCGGAUUAAUACUGCAUAAUAUGGUACAAGCGCUUGGUUGAACCAUCAAAGACGAGGCGGUAAAGGAUGGGCAUGCGUGACAUUAGCUAGUUGGAGGGGUAACGGCCCACCAAGGCUAUGAUGUCUAGGGGUUCUGAGAGGAUGGUCACCCACACUGGUACUGAGACACGGACCAGACGCCUACGGGAGGCAGCAGUGAGGAAUAUUGGUCAAUGGGCGCGAGCCUGAACCAGCCAUCCCGCGUGCAGGAAGACGGCCCUAUGGGUUGUAAACUGCUUUUGUGCAGGAAGAACGUACAGAUCGUGAUUUGUAGUGACGGUACUGCAUGAAUAAGCACCGGCUAACUCCGUGCCAGCAGCCGCCGUAAAAC
rnacentral:rRNA from 1 species